ensembl:lncRNA
UUUUCAGCCCACUGAGUCAAUACAUGUUAGAAUAAACUUUGUCAGCGAUUACAGCUGGGAGUCUUCUUGGGUAAGGCUCUAAGAGUCAUUACAGCUGGGAGUCUUCCUGGGUAAGUCUCAAAGAGCUUUACACACCUGGAUUGUGCAAUAUUAGCCAAUAUUAUUUUCAUAAUUCUUCAAGCUAUGUCAAGAUGUUGGGGAUCAUCACUAGACAGCAAUGUUGAAGUCUUGCCAUAGAUUUUCAAGCAGAUUUAAGUCAAAACUGUAACUUGGCCACUCAGGAACACUGUCAUCUUGGUAAGCAACUCCAGUGUAGAUCUGGCCUUGUGUUGUAGGUUAUUGUCCUGCUGAAAGGUGAAUUCAUCUCCCAGUGUCUAGUGUAAAGCGCCCCAGUAUUUGCCGAUGUCAAGCAUACUCAUACUAUGAUGCAACCACUACUUUGCUUGAAAAUAAGGAGGCAGUUGCUCAGUGAUGUGUUGGAUUUGCUCCAAGCAUUAAAAAAAUUACAGGAAAAACUGUUGUUUCAUGCGAGAGGCAAAAGUAGUGUAGUGUACACCUGGCUUUAUCAACAGCUGUAACAAGUUGUCCAGUCUAGGAAAUCCUCACUGGUACCCAUAGAUUAUAGAAAGACACAAUUGAUGUUCAGGGUGGAUCCUCUGUCUUCAAAACGUUAUGUUGUAAUUACUACAUUUUCACUCCAUGCCUAUUCUAGACCCACAUCACCAGUCCUCACCUCUACCACCGUAUCUCUCUAAGCCCCAGAAGUAGAGGGUCACUUGGGCAGGAAGUCGUCCACCUUCAGGUUGCCCACGUACCAGAAGUUCAGGCUGAGAAACAUGAUGAUGGUUCUGGAGAAGACCAAGAGGUCCCAGAAGCUGAAGGGAGCAAAGAUGCCCAGGAAGAACAGAAUGAGGCCUGUAGCGUCCAGGAAGAUGGAUGUGAAGAAGAGAAGGCAGCGACCCAGCUGAGUGUCGGUACAGGUGCUGAGUGUCGGUACAGGUGCUGAGUGUCGGUACAGGUGCUGAGUGUCGGGACAGGUGCUGAGUGUAGGGACAGGUGCUGAGUGUAGGGACAGGUGCUGAGUGUAGGUACAAGUGCUGAGUGUAGGUACAGGUACAAGUGCUGAGUGUAGGUACAAGUGCUGAGUGUAGGUACAGGUACAAGUGCUGAGUGUAGGUACAAGUGCUGAGUGUAGGUACAGGUACAAGUGCUGAGUGUAGG